GGGGGCGAACUGGAUUCGACCGGAUAGCCUGAAGUGUCCGUGGCGUGUCGUGGUUGGUCAGUUGGCCACGUUAAAAGCUGACCGCAUUAUUUAUUUGCCGAGGAAAACCUCGCACUGGCCGCCUAACUACGGCGUCCCCGACUGCGGAUCUUUGCCGGAGAGAACCAAAAGUCGGUCGCAAUUCCGGAUCGCUUGGAGUCAUGUAGAGCACGCUGCAAGCUAAAUAAAGUUCUCUGCUAGUCGCAGCUGUACCUCGUCGGUUAGGGCCAGCUCGACAAAACCAAACAUCCGACUACACACGUAGAAGCUGUCAUGGAAAUGUCGCGGGACGCGGGUUCGAUCCCCGCCGCCUCCACUC
rnacentral:tmRNA from 1 species